rnacentral:lncRNA from 1 species
UGGGCUAAUGAUAUAUGAAAAUUUAAGCCCAUUAUGACCUAUCGGGUCCAUAUCAGCACCUCUCAAGUAGCCUAAUUGUUGCAGCUCACCUGACCCUUAGCCGGCAUGUGCCUGGUCCGACCCUUAAUCGGUCAAUCUUUGAUUUGACUCUGAUUUGAAUAGCUCUUUGUCCAAAUCCUAGAUGAAAAAGGUUUGGUCCGA